rnacentral:rRNA from 1 species
UACCUGGUUGAUUCUGCCAGUAGUUAUAUGCUUGUCUCAAAGAUUAAGCCAUGCAUGUCUCAGUGCAAGCCGUAUUAAGGCGAUACCGCGAAUGGCUCAAUAUAUCAGUUUUGGUUCCUUAGAUCUUACUCAGUUACUUGGAUAACUGUGGUAAUUCUAGAGCUAAUACAUGCAAUCAGAACUCUGACCAGUGAUGGGAUGAGUGCUUUUAUUAGAUCAAAACCAAUCGACGGAGGGCUUCGCGUCUGAAGUCGUUAAUUUUGAUGAAUCUGGAUAACUUUUGCCGAUCGCAUGGUCCAGUACCGGCGACGCAUCUUUCAAAUGUCUGCCUUAUCAACUUUCGAUGGUAGUUUCUGCGACUACCAUGGUUGUCACGGGUAACGGGGAAUCAGGGUUCGAUUCCGGAGAGGGAGCCUGAGAAACGGCUACCACAUCCAAGGAAGGCAGCAGGCGCGCAAAUUACCCACUCCCGGCACGGGGAGGUAGUGACGAAAAAUAACGAUACGGGACUCUUACGAGGCCUCGUAAUCGGAAUGAGUACACUUUAAAUAUUUUAACGAGGAACAAUUGGAGGGCAAGUCUGGUGCCAGCAGCCGCGGUAAUUCCAGCUCCAAUAGCGUAUACUAAAAUUGUUGCGGUUAAAAAGCUCGUAGUUGCAUUUGUGCGCCGCGCUGUCGGUGCACCGCAUCCGCGGUGAUACUGACACGUCUGCGGAGCAUAUCGUCGGUGAGCCGUCGGUCAAACGUCGGUUCAAUAUCAAAAUCCUAUCGCGGUGCUCUUNCAUGAGUGUCGAGGUGGGCCGACAAUUUUACUUUGAACAAAUUAGAGUGCUCAAAGCGGGCUCAAAAUGCUGCUUGAAUAUUUCGUGCAUGGAAUAAUAGAAUAUGAUCUCGGUUCUAUUUUGUUGGUUUUCAGACCUCCGAGGUAAGAUUAAUAGGGAUAACUGGGGGCAUUCGUAUUGCGACGUAGAGUGAAAAAUUCUGGGAUCGUCGCAAGACGAACAUCAGCGAAAGCAUUGCCAAAAGGUGUNNUCAUCAAUCAAGAACGAAAGUAGAGGGUUCGAAGGCGAUUAGAUACCGCCCUAGUUCUAACCGUAAAUAUGUCAUCUAGCGAUCCGCCGACGUUACUACAAUGGCUCGGCGGGCAGCUUCCGGGAAACCAAAGAUUUUGGACUCCGGGGGGAGUAUGGUUGCAAAGCUGAAACUUAAAGGAAUUGACGGAAGGGCACCACCAGGAGUGGAGCCUGCGGCUUAAUUUGACUCAACACGGGAAAUCUCACCAGGCCCGGACACCGGAAGGAUUGACAGAUUAACAGCUCUUUCUUGAUUCGGUGGGUGGUGGUGCAUGGCCGUUCUUAGUUGGUGGAGCGAUUUGUCUGGUUAAUUCCGGUAACGAACGAGACUCUAGCCUGCUAAAUAGGCGUCGUCAUUUAGGUGUGCGUGGCUUACGGUCACGCAACUCACUGGCGACGUAUUAAAAUUCUUCUUAGAGGGACCGGCGGCUUCGAGCCGCACGAGAUUGAGCAAUAACAGGUCUGUGAUGCCCUUAGAUGUCCUGGGCCGCACGCGCGCUACACUGAAGGAAUCAGCAUGUUCUCCCUGGCCUAGAGGCCCGGGCAACCCGCUGAAACUCCUUCGUGCUGGGGAUUGGGGUUUGCAAUUAUCCCCCAUAAACGAGGAAUUCCUAGUAAGCGCGAGUCAUAAGCUCGCGUUGAUUACGUCCCUGCCCUUUGUACACACCGCCCGUCGCUACUACCGAUUAAAUGAUUUAGUGAGGUCUUCGGACCGACACGCGGUGGCUUCACGGCCGUCGGCGUUGCUGGGAAGUUGACCAAACUUGAUCAUUUAGAGGAAGUAAAAGUCGUAACA